UACAGGGGGUGCAAGCGUUGUUCGGAAUUACUGGGCGUAAAGCGCGUGUAGGCGGUCUGCCAAGUCUGAUGUGAAAGCCCUGGGCUCAACCCAGGAAGUGCGUCAGAUACUGGCGGACUGGAGUGGCGGAGAGGAUGGCGGAAUUCCCGGUGUAGAGGUGAAAUUCGUAGAUAUCGGGAGGAACACCUGUGACGAAGGCGGCCAUCUGGACGUCAACUGACGCUGAGACGCGAAAGCAUGGGGAGCAAACAGG
rnacentral:rRNA from 1 species